rnacentral:tRNA from 1 species
GCGUUGGUGGUAUAGUGGUGAGCAUAGCUGCCUUCCAAGCAGUUGACCCGGGUUCGAUUCCCCGCUGUCCGCC